AUUGAACGCUGGCGGAAUGCUUUACACAUGCAAGUCGAACGGCAGCACGGGGCAACCUGGUGGCGAGUGGCGAACGGGUGAGUAAUACAUCGGAACGUGCCCAAUCGUGGGGGAUAACGUAGCGAAAGUUACGCUAAUACCGCAUACGAUCUACGGAUGAAAGCGGGGGAUCGCAAGACCUCGCGCGAAUGGAGCGGCCGAUGUCAGAUUAGGUAGUUGGUGGGGUAAAGGCUCACCAAGCCAAUGAUCUGUAGCUGGUCUGAGAGGACGACCAGCCACACUGGAACUGAGACACGGUCCAGACUCCUACGGGAGGCAGCAGUGGGGAAUUUUGGACAAUGGGCGCAAGCCUGAUCCAGCCAUUCCGCGUGCAGGAUGAAGGCCUUCGGGUUGUAAACUGCUUUUGUACGGUAACGAAACGGUACUGCCCUAAUACGGCGGGCUAAUGACGGUACCGUAAGAAUAAGCACCGGCUAACUACGUGCCAGCAGCCGCGGUAAUCGUG
rnacentral:rRNA from 1 species